CCAACUCACUCCUUACAGCUUCUCCAUCCCGAGUCGAGCCGUAGAGAGAAGCUUGCUUCUCUUGAGAGCGGCGGACGGGUGAGUAAUGCCUAGGAAUCUGCCUGGUAGUGGGGGAUAACGUUCGGAAACGGACGCUAAUACCGCAUACGUCCUACGGGAGAAAGCAGGGGACCUUCGGGCCUUGCGCUAUCAGAUGAGCCUAGGUCGGAUUAGCUAGUUGGUGAGGUAAUGGCUCACCAAGGCGACGAUCCGUAACUGGUCUGAGAGGAUGAUCAGUCACACUGGAACUGAGACACGGUCCAGACUCCUACGGGAGGCAGCAGUGGGGAAUAUUGGACAAUGGGCGAAAGCCUGAUCCAGCCAUGCCGCGUGUGUGAAGAAGGUCUUCGGAUUGUAAAGCACUUUAAGUUGGGAGGAAGGGUUGUAGAUUAAUACUCUGCAAUUUUGACGUUACCGACAGAAUAAGCACCGGCUAACUCUGUGCCAGCAGCCGCGGUAAUACAGAGGGUGCAAGCGUUAAUCGGAAUUACUGGGCGUAAAGCGCGCGUAGGUGGUUUGUUAAGUUGGAUGUGAAAUCCCCGGGCUCAACCUGGGAACUGCAUUCAAAACUGACUGACUAGAGUAUGGUAGAGGGUGGUGGAAUUUCCUGUGUAGCGGUGAAAUGCGUAGAUAUAGGAAGGAACACCAGUGGCGAAGGCGACCACCUGGACUAAUACUGACACUGAGGUGCGAAAGCGUGGGGGAGCAAACAGGAUUAGAUACCCUGGUAGUCCACGCCGUAAACGAUGUCAACUAGCCGUUGGAAGCCUUGAGCUUUUAGUGGCGCAGCUAACGCAUUAAGUUGACCGCCUGGGGAGUACGGCCGCAAGGUUAAAACUCAAAUGAAUUGACGGGGGCCCGCACAAGCGGUGGAGCAUGUGGUUUAAUUCGAAGCAACGCGAAGAACCUUACCAGGCCUUGACAUCCAAUGAACUUUCUAGAGAUAGAUUGGUGCCUUCGGGAACAUUGAGACAGGUGCUGCAUGGCUGUCGUCAGCUCGUGUCGUGAGAUGUUGGGUUAAGUCCCGUAACGAGCGCAACCCUUGUCCUUAGUUACCAGCACGUUAUGGUGGGCACUCUAAGGAGACUGCCGGUGACAAACCGGAGGAAGGUGGGGAUGACGUCAAGUCAUCAUGGCCCUUACGGCCUGGGCUACACACGUGCUACAAUGGUCGGUACAGAGGGUUGCCAAGCCGCGAGGUGGAGCUAAUCCCAUAAAACCGAUCGUAGUCCGGAUCGCAGUCUGCAACUCGACUGCGUGAAGUCGGAAUCGCUAGUAAUCGCGAAUCAGAAUGUCGCGGUGAAUACGUUCCCGGGCCUUGUACACACCGCCCGUCACACCAUGGGAGUGGGUUGCACCAGAAGUAGCUAGUCUAACCUUCGGAGGAACGGUUACUCCCCGCCAGAUGUGGG
rnacentral:rRNA from 1 species